rnacentral:rRNA from 1 species
GACGAACGCUGGCGGCGUGCUUAACACUGCAAGUCGAACGAUGAACCCGGAGCUUGCUCCGGUGGAUUAGUGGCGAACGGGUGGGUAACACGUGAGUAACCUGCCCUUGACUCUGGGAUAACUGCGGGAAACUGUAGCUAAUACCGGAUACGACCCUCGGCGGCAUCGCCAGGGGGUGGAAAGAAUUUCGGUCAAGGAUGGACUCGCGGCCUAUCAGCUAGUUGGGGGGGUAACGGCUCACCAAGGCGACGACGGGUAGACGGCCUGGGAGGGGGACCGGCCACACGGGGACUGAGACACGGCCCAGACUCCUACGGGAGGCAGCAGUGGGGAAUAUUGCACAAUGGGCGCAAGCCUGAUGCAGCAACGCCGCGUGAGGGAUGACGGCCUUCGGGUUGUAAACCUCUUUUAGUAGGGAAGAAGCGAAAGUGACGGUACCUGCAGAAAAAGCACCGGCUAACUACGUGCCAGCCGCCGCCGUAA